GAUGAACGCUGGCGGCGUGCCUAAUACAUGCAAGUCGAGCGAACAGAUAAGGAGCUUGCUCCUUUGACGUUAGCGGCGGACGGGUGAGUAACACGUGGGUAACCUACCUAUAAGACUGGCAUAACUCCGGGAAACCGGGUCUAAUGCCGGAUAACAUUUAGAACCGCAUGGUUCUAAAGUGAAAGAUGGUUUUGCUAUCACUUAUAGAUGGACCCGCGCCGUAUUAGCUAGUUGGUAAGGUAACGGCUUACCAAGGCAACGAUACGUAGCCGACCUGAGAGGGUGAUCGGCCACACUGGAACUGAGACACGGUCCAGACUCCUACGGGAGGCAGCAGUAGGGAAUCUUCCGCAAUGGGCGAAAGCCUGACGGAGCAACGCCGCGUGAGUGAUGAAGGUCUUCGGAUCGUAAAACUCUGUUAUUAGGGAAGAACAAAUGUGUAAGUAACUGUGCACGUCUUGACGGUACCUAAUCAGAAAGCCACGGCUAACUACGUG
rnacentral:rRNA from 1 species